rfam:Camelus ferus isolate Naran unplaced genomic scaffold scaffold9315, whole genome shotgun sequence.
GGAUUGGCCCUAUUCAGGGCUACAAAACAAAUCCAAGUAAAUUUUA